UCGAACAUAUGAUUUAUGGUAAUUUAUCUUCCUUAGGCAAUAUGAUCUGAUCAUCAAACAUUCCAAUCGCAUUGAUUCCUUCUGUUUAGGGUUUGAAUUCUUCAAAUGGUAUCUAAAUCAACAUCAUCAGUUCCUUCUAUGAACUUCGUCCAUUCCAUAUUUAGGGUGGUGUAGGCCUGCUUGGAAUGUUUGAUAUCGCAAAGGAUGUGAUAGGUGCGUACGAUGCUAUGACAAGGCGACUAAGAGGGUUAAAACCAGCAGCAACUGUGAGAUAUCAUCGAUGUUCCCAUUAUAUACAUCACUAAUAAUAGAAGAAAAAUAAGAAAGUCCGGCGGUUGUAGUAGUAGCACUAGCAACAACAUGAAAGUUAGCAGUACCACCAAUCAAAUCAAACAACUGAUAAUAAUAAUGUAGAAGUCAAUUUAAUUCUUAGUGGUCCUUUGAAAACAAGGGCAAAGAUUGUUUGUACGGUUCAAGAGAAGGUGGUUUAAAGAAUAAUGCCAGCUGGGACAUAUGUGUAAAGUACUCACUGUCACUUAUUUGUUUUUGGAUUACACAUUUUCAACUGAUUUACACAUGUGUAAACCUUCAUAUAUCUAUGGUUGUUUUUAAAAUUAUGAUUUACACAUGUGUAAACCUUCGUAUAUAUAUGCUUAUUUUGU
rnacentral:lncRNA from 1 species